UACGUAGGUGGCAAGCGUUGUCCGGAUUUAUGGGGUUUAAAGGGUGCGUAGGCGGCCUAUUAAGUCAGUGGUGAAAUACUCUAGCUUAACUAGAGGGGUGCCAUUGAUACUGAUGGGCUUGAGUACAGAUGAGGUAGGCGGAAUUGACGGUGUAGCGGUGAAAUGCUUAGAUAUCGUCAAGAACACCUAUAGCGAAGGCAGCUUACUAGGCUGUAACUGACGCUGAGGCACGAAAGUGUGGGGAUCAAACAGG
rnacentral:rRNA from 1 species